rnacentral:rRNA from 1 species
AAUAGACUACCCAGGUAGUCCCUGGCCGUAAACGAUGUCCACUAGAUCGAAGUGCCUCUGACGGUAUUUCGGUCGAAGCAAAAGUGCUAAGUGGACCGCCUGGGAAGUACGGUCGCAAGGCUAAAACGUCAAAGAAAUUGACGGGGGCUCACACAAGCGGUGGAGCAUGUGGUUUAAUUCGAUGCAACGCGAAGAACCUUACCUGCCCUUGACAUCCUCGGAACUUGGCAGAGAUGCCUUGGUGCCUUCGGGAACCGAGAGACAGGUGCUGCAUGGCUGUCGCCAGCUCGUGUCGUGAGAUGUUGGGUUAAGUCCCGCAACGAGCGCAACCCUUGUCCCUAGUUGCCAGCAUUCAGAUGGGAACUCUAGGGAGACCGCCGGUGACAAACCGGAGGAAGGUGGGGAUGACGUCAAGUCAUCAUGGCCCUUAUGGGCAGGGCUACACACGUGCUACAAUGGCCAGUACAGAGGGUUGCCGAACCCGCGAGGGGGAGCCAAUCCCAAAAAGCUGGUCGUAGUCCGGA